rnacentral:rRNA from 1 species
UAACACAUGCAAGUCGAACGGAAACGAUACUAGCUUGCUAGUAGGCGUCGAGUGGCGGACGGGUGAGUAACGCGUAGGAAUCUGCCUGAUAGUGGGGGAUAGCCCGAAGAAAUUCGGAUUAAUACCGCAUAAUCUAUUCGUAGUAAAGUGGGGGACUUUCGAGCCUCACGCUAUCAGAUGAGCCUGCGUAAGAUUAGCUAGUUGGUAGGGUAAAAGCCUACCAAGGCUACGAUCUUUAGCUGGUCUGAGAGGAUGAUCAGCCACAUCGGGACUGAGACACGGCCCGAACUCCUACGGGAGGCAGCAGUGGGGAAUAUUGGACAAUGGGGGCAACCUUGAUCCAGCAAUACCGCGUGUGUGAAGAAGGCCUGAGGGUUGUAAAGCACUUUCAAUUGUGAAGAAAAGUUAACGGUUAAUAACCGUUAGCCUUGACGUUAACUUUAGAAGAAGCACCGGCUAACUCCGUGCCAGCAGCCGCGGUAAUACGGAGGGUGCAAGCGUUAAUCGGAAUUACUGGGCGUAAAGCGUGCGUAGGCGGUUUAUUAAGUCAGAUGUGAAAGCCCCGGGCUUAACCUGGGAACUGCAUUUGAAACUGGUCAACUAGAGUAUGGUAGAGGAAAGUGGAAUUUCUGGUGUAGCGGUGAAAUGCGUAGAUAUCAGAAGGAACAUCAAUGGCGAAGGCAGCUUUCUGGACCAAUACUGACGCUGAGGUACGAAAGCGUGGGUAGCAAACAGGAUUAGAUACCCUGGUAGUCCACGCCGUAAACGAUGAUAACUAGCCGUUGGGGGGAUUUACCCUUUAGUGGCGAAGCUAACGCGUUAAGUUAUCCGCCUGGGGAGUACGGCCGCAAGGUUAAAACUCAAAGGAAUUGACGGGGACCCGCACAAGCGGUGGAGCAUGUGGUUUAAUUCGAUGCAACGCGAAGAACCUUACCUGGUCUUGACAUCCUGCGAACUUUCUAGAAAUAGAUUGGUGCCUUCGGGAACGCAGUGACAGGUGCUGCAUGGCUGUCGUCAGCUCGUGUCGUGAGAUGUUGGGUUAAGUCCCGUAACGAGCGCAACCCCUAUCCUUAUUUGCCAGCACGUCAUGGUGGGAACUAUAAGGAGACUGCCGGUGAUAAACCGGAGGAAGGCGGGGACGACGUCAAGUCAUCAUGGCCCUUACGACCAGGGCUACACACGUGCUACAAUGGGAAGGACAAAGAGCCGCGAAGCCGCGAGGUGUAGCUAAUCUCAGAAACCUUUUCGUAGUCCGGAUUGGAGUCUGCAACUCGACUCCAUGAAGUCGGAAUCGCUAGUAAUCGUAGAUCAGAAUGCUACGGUGAAUACGUUCCCGGGUCUUGUACACACCGCCCGUCAUACCAUGGGAGUGGGUUGCACCAGAAGUGGCUAGUCUAGCUUAGUGAGGACGGUCACCACGGUGUGAUUCAUGACUGGGGUA